rnacentral:misc_RNA from 1 species
UACAGAGCCUGAGCCGCCGCCUC